rnacentral:lncRNA from 1 species
AAACAGAGUUGCUAAAAUUUCUCCUUUGAUUGUCCAAAGACACAACUCAAUCAUCAAGAGGAAUCCACAUUAUUGUUAUGGAUAGAGGAAAUUAAAAUAACUUUUGGGAAGAAUUAAUCACUCAAAUUUUCUAUUAAAAACAAUCAAUUUAAUCGGUGGUGUAUCUCCUAUUAUGAUAAAUAAGUAUAUGAUUUUGUCCAGAAUACAAUCAAUUUAAUUGUCCAUAAGAACUCAUGAUAAGCAGAACUAGAACCAAGUUUUCAUGCACACAACAAAUGGAAAUAUGGUAGCUUACGCCCUUUUAUUCCAAAGGGAUUCCCAUAAAGUACUCUAACCCUCGCAGAACGUAUAGCACUAGCUGUGCUGAUCUUUAUCAACUCAAGUACCUACAACACAUGAUCUACGGUUAGACCAGGGGAAACUGAAUGAAAGACAUUGACUUCAACACCACAACAUCACCCAACAACAUGCAUGCACAAAAUUAAGGUGUGAAACUGAAGUAGGUCUAAUGUCCUAGAACCGCAGUGUAAUUCCAAGUAAAUUCCUUGUAACAUAUUCCUUGUGUUAUAUUCCUUAGAGAUGGUACACAUAAAUUUCACAUCUGUAGCUUUAAAUUUUUUUACGAGAAAAAGAAAAAGCAUAUCCUAAUCUUCACUCUUAUACUACGACUACUAUUGAUUCCAAGUACCAGCAAGUUCCUAUUGAAGAACUAAGUAAACACCACAAUGAUAAGAAUAUAAUAAGCAUUUGCUUCAAGGAAAAAUCCUAAGACUCUAUGACCUGAUGAAAACCACUCUGCAUGACUGCAUCCAUUUAAAAAGUUAAAAAGACCAUUAAGAAAGUGCAAUACAAUCGAGGCUAGAAAGGACAGACCAUGACAUUUUAUUCAUCUAAGGGUGUCCGUUUUUCCAUAUACUGUAAGGAAGAAAGAGUGCUCUAGAUGUCACACCAAGUAAAACAGCAUCUAAUAUUCACAACCAUAUUUCCAACUUUUGUCACCUAAGGAAUGUGUCAAAGCAAACUAGUAAGAAUGAUGCUAAUGCGAACGCGAAUACCUAGCAACAUGCAAUGUAAAUAUAAAACAUAAACUAACCCGUUCAUGGGAAAUAAUUAAAAGCAAAAGCAUUACCAGACUCACUCCAUCUGUAUGCCAAAAACAUCUUACAACAGGACGAAUUCUUCUUCCCAUUUUUUUCCUUUUCUUUUACCUUAUAUUCUAUUUCCUAGCUUAGCGAUAAAGAAACAUCAUGAACUCAAGAUAACGUUUCUUUGAAACUGGAUAAGACUUUGCUCAAGCUAUUGUGAUCAAUAAAUCUUUCUUAACAGUAGAAAACGGAUGUACUAGUGCACUUAAAGAAAACCUGAAAGGCAUGUAAGCUAGAAAUGGGAACGAUGAGACGUAUACAACACUAUAAAGGGCAUUGGAAUGGGAUACUAGAUUAAAUGAUCACAGAAAAGGAGAACAAAUCAUUUUAUUGGAACAUACUCUUACAAGACUUGUGUAAUUGAAUAGCUCUUAUGAGCAUACUGAGAUAUGAGAUCGGUGUGAGAUUCAAAUGAUAAAGGACAGGAGUAAGCUAAUAGAGGAAGUCUCGACACACUCCAUUCACAGUAUUUUGGUUAACUAUUCCAUUCACAGUUUUUGACCCCUGUAUUAGGUAAAUAAAAACAACUCUCAGUUCAAACCUUUAGGCAAUAUUGUUGAAGAACCCAACUAAGAGUGAAGGUUAAAGCACCAUAUAUCACUAUAAAUAUUAGUAGGAAUUAAAAUUCAAAAUGUUCCCGUAUGAUCUUAUUUUAUGUAUCACCAAUUGCAAUAGGCCUUUUGUUUUUCUAGUAUUUUGAUUUUUAGAAAAUUUGGUUAUCUUUUUAGUUAUGCUUCGCUUAGUUUUUUUGGUGAGAAGUACAACUUCGAUCCAAGUUUAUAUUGCUAUCACCCGUGUCAUUUAGUAAGCUUCACUACCUCUAAUGAACCUUUUAUUUUGUUUUAUUUUACUUUUUUAAGUUAUCAGGUUAAGGCGCAUUUCUCGCAUUCGAAGCAAACAAGAGUAAUUAUGCUCGACAGGUUGUUUUAUAAGCAGUCAGUCGUAUGAUCCAUUAAACAAACAAUAAAAUCCAGCUUAAUUAAAUAUUUGAUCUAGUAUUUGAAAUUAGAUAACAAAUCAACCUUGCUUAAGUUUUUUUCCAACAAGACCCGACACCCAAUUCAACUACAUUUCAACUGGAGUCUGUAUGAUACUUAUGAUCCUAUGAAACACCUUCACUUCAAAACAGACAUACAAGAUUGAGAUUAUGCUAUGACAUUACUAUAAUAUGUAACUCUAAGGACACUUAAAACCCCAGAAAUGGAAGAUUUAUAGGUACCUGAAAUGUCAUUACAUAAUCAGAUCUUUUCAAAAUAAAAACUCCAAAUUGAAUUUGAAAAAGGUCUAAAGAACAUUCUCAGAAUAGCAAACAUAAGAAAAAACCCAAUUUUAUACUCUGAACAAGAGUCCAAUUCCCCCCAAAAGAAAAAAGAGUUCUUUUUUUAAUUGAUAUAGACGUAUAGUAUAAAAUGACACAAUGUUGAAAUAUCAUGCCACCGCUACUUAAAAUUUUAAAUAUGGAAUAAAAAAAACCUUCAUAUUUUCAAAAUUUGUUAAUGGGACUCUUUUUGGGGAACAGGGGUACAAGAAAAUGAAAUUAGUGGGUGCGAAUGCCGAGUUGUUGAGAGAGGAAGGUACCCUGAGAAAGCUCGCAACAGGCGCGGGCCUCAACGGAGAUAUGAGAAGUUAAACGAGCAGCGGCCAACACGCUGUAGAGCGGCAGUAGCGAUUGAGUGCACCCUAUUACUCCUCCAAUUGUCCUUCAUUAAUUAAAUUUACAAAGCAGAUAGCUUAGAAUAAAAGCACGUAGUAAAGUCUGAAGAUAGUAGAACAGAGUGAAAUUGGGAAAUGCUGAAUGGGAAUUAGCCUUACCCGAGGUUGGAAGUUGACAGAAGGCGGCGAGACUGAGGGCGGUGGCCAGGAAGGGGCGGCGGGCGGAGACGCGGGAGAGAUGAAGAGGAGGAACGGGAUGUUGAUGUUCUUGCUGUGGAAACCAACGACCUUGAUAACGAUCCACAUCGCCAAGCCAUUUCAAUUUUUCUCAACAAAAACCAAAUCAGAAUUUUCACUAGGUUUUUAGAUUGUUAGCCAGGGGGCUCGAAAUUUGGUGGGAUUUCCAAAUCAAGGCCCAUUUGUUUU